GAACGACUCUCGGCAACGGAUAUCUCGGCUCUCGCAUCGAUGAAGAACGGUAGCGAAAUGCGAUACUUGGUGUGAAUUGCAGAAUCCCGUGAACCAUCGAGUCUUUGAACGCAAGUUGCGCCCGAAGCCAUCAGGUCGAGGGCACGUCUGCCUGGGCGUCACAC
rnacentral:rRNA from 1 species